CGCUAAGAGUCAGAUACGACUGAGCGACUUCACUUUCACUUUUCACUUUCAUGCAUUGGAGAAGGAAAUGGCAACCCACUCCAGUGUUCUUGCCUGGAGAAUCCCAGGGACGGGGGAGCCUGGUGGGCUGCCGUCUAUGGGGUCACACAGAGUCGGACACGACUGACGCGACUUAGCAGCAGCAGCCUUAUCAACGGCUAACAGUGACAUUUAUGUGCCCAGUGCAGAUCGUAGCCAAACUGAAAUGUUGGGGUUUGGAGCAGUGAAAGAUUUAUUGCAAGGAAAACUACAAGGGAUACAGGCUCCCAGGUGGUGCUAGUGAUAAGGAAUUUGCCUGCAAAUGCAGGAGAUGUAAAGAGACGUGGGUUUGAUCCCUGGGUAGAAAAGAUUCCCUGGAAGAGAGCAUGUCAACCCACUCCAAUGUUCUUCCCUGGAGAAUCCCUUGGACAGAGGAGGCUGGCAGGCUAUAGUCCAUGGGAUAGCAUGGGUCGGACAUGACUGAAACGACUUAGCAUGCAUAACAACAUACAAAGAGAACAGGUGGCUCGUGCUCAAAAGACACAAACUGUCCAUAAUAGGUUUCAGGGAGAUUUUAUAGGCAAAAUUUGUGGGGAGGGCUGCAGCGCUUGUAAACCUCCUCUGAUAGGUGGGUGGUGCACCAGGAAUUUCUAUUACCAGCCAGUCUGAGGUCUGGCUGCUCAGCCUGAAGUUACCAUCCUGUUGAGGAACUCAGAGUGAUCCCAUAAUGAUGCAAGUGAGUGCCAGCCUUGUGCCAGACAUUGUGUCUAGUGUAAAUUCAUCAUUGUCCACGUUUAGUGAGCAGGACUGAGACCCAUGGCCUUGAUGGAUUCAUCGUUUAAUCCUUCACCAGAGCUCUGAGAUGGAUGAUCUUAGCUUGUGCUUCAUCCAGCCUGGCAUUUCUCAUGAUGAACUCUGCAUAGAAGUUAAAUAAGCAGGGUGACAGUAGAC
ensembl:lncRNA